CAAUUUUGGUAAACUGUGUUUCCUAAUAUAUUAUUCAUUUUAUCUGCAGGUAGAGAAAUAAAGCUAACAUCAGCAAAACAAAAAUAUAUUAGCUUGUAUGAACUUCUUCAUAAUUCAUUGCCUAAUAAUGGCUUCGAAGUCAACAGAGCAUCUAAAAAUGGAUGCCAAAGUUCUUAGAAAGAGAAGAAAAUACAGUGUUUCAAUCGGUAUUGCAGCAAGAUGGAGAAGACCAUAUGCCAAUUGGACAGAACUUGUCUGUGACAUAGUACAUUUCUGAGCUUUAGCUAUUUUUUGAGAUUAUGGGAUAGCCUUGUUUUCUAUGUUGUUAAAAUACAGUUCUUAAUUUUUUAAAAUGUCCCUGCCUUUACUGAUUUUUAGACAGUAAAUUGUAAUAGUUACACACUUCAUAAAUAAAAAGAUCGAUUAUUACUGUUAUUAUUAUCAUUAUUAUUUUGGCAGUACUGGGGGAUGGAACCCUGUACAUUCUAAGAAGCACUCUACCACUGAGUUG
rnacentral:lncRNA from 1 species